ACCUACGGGAGGCAGCAGUAGGGAAUCUUCCACAAUGGGCGAAAGCCUGAUGGGGCAACGCCGCGUGGGUGAAGAAGGUCUUCGGAUCGUAAAACCCUGUUGUUAGAGAAGAAAGUGCGUGAGAGUAACUGUUCACGUUUCGACGGUAUCUAACCAGAAAGCCACGGCUAACUACGUGCCAGCAGCCGCGGUAAUACGUAGGUGGCAAGCGUUAUCCGGAUUUAUUGGGCGUAAAGGGAACGCAGGCGGUCUUUUAAGUCUGAUGUGAAAGCCUUCGGCUUAACCGGAGUGGUGCAUUGGAAACU
rnacentral:rRNA from 1 species